rnacentral:lncRNA from 1 species
GCAGCCCCGGCCGCCCACUCGCCUCAUCUGAGCCUGGCAGAAGGUAAGCAUGAGCAAAUUACUUUUUAGAGGUAACUUUGCUGAACUUGUGAAGAAUGGUGUGCAAGGUCCAGAGCGACUGCAGGAGAGGGAAGGUGGGAUUCCCACAGAGCAGGAGCACAGAUAAGCCAAGCAAGGCCCUGCUUGGAAGGCAGCAAUCAACAGAGAUGCACAGACCUGUGAGGGUGCCGGGACAGCCAUGCAACAAUGCAGCCCUUUUGCUUCCUGAGCUCACCAGUUCCCUCGCUCCACCUCUGAGAGGUGGUUUGGAGAAACACAGCCCUUCUCAAGAGGGCUGCAAGCUACUUAAGUCCUGAAAAUUUCCACAAGGCUGAGUCAAAUCUGCGUUUCAUCAUCUAUAAGAAAGGUACCUAUCGAGAACACCCUGCUGGCCAGUGUGUA